ACUUCCCUAUCACUAGCAGGGGAUGGCCUGGGGAGGAAGAAGACAUGAUUGAGACAGUAGGAAUAGAGACAAAGACAAACACCCGAAAGGGAGAAAUACUGGCAAAGAGCCCCUUCCCCCAGUGAUGAGAAUCAACUCAUUUAGAUGGUGGGAAAGAAACACUGGCAGGUUCUACUAUAUUUCUAUAGAAAGCAGAUGCUCCCCUGACCCGGGCCACCCCUCCUCAGCCCAGCAGGCAGCCACUCACAGAAUAGGAUCGGAUGCUGCCAGUUCGAGCUCGGGAUAGGCUGAAGCCCACCUAAGUCUGAGACGAAGGAGACUGAGUUCCACUUCCAAGGAGCCAUUGGUAAAGAAGCCGAAGCUGUUCAGCUGGAUAUCGGCCCGUUUUUCCCCCUAAGAGAGAGCCCAAUUGUCCAGCCACUGGAGGGUGGCCAGCGAGAGGCUGUUUCCUGGGAUAAGGAUGACCAGGGCAGACACCAGAUUCCCUCUCCUCAACCCAUCCUUCCAUCCCCAGAUUCUCUCCCUCCCUCAACUCAGGACACAGAUAAUGCAAAUGCUCCGGGCUUUCCCAUAGCCAUCCAAGAUCUCCAUGCAUCAGGAGAGUCACGGACCCCCUUUGGUCUUCGGGACCCCUUCUGGAGACCAUGAUUUUAAAUGCAUAAAAUAAAAUACAUGACAUU